rnacentral:snRNA from 1 species
GUGCUUGCUUCAGCAGCGCAUAUGUUAAAGUUGGAACAAUAUGGUAAGAUUAGCAUGGCCCCUGCGCAAAACACAAAAAAAGAAAAAGUUAAAAUGUAU